rnacentral:lncRNA from 1 species
AGGAAUCAGCGCUCCAGCACGGACAGCCUCAGGGGUCACAGUGUGUCUCUCUGCCUGGCUCUGCCCCUCCUUGGGACCCUUCUCCUUUAAGAGCAGCAGCUUUUUACAGGAUGCCAAGAACAACUCACAUGGUGACCCGGGUGUAACCAAUGCAGUGACACUGCCUGAGUCUGCAGAGAGCCUGAGUCAAUUGGUCUGGAUGGACAGGACAUAACGAGACAGUGACCGAUGCAGCGACCCCUGCCUGCACUUACUGAGAGUCUGAGCGCUAAGUUCCCAUACAACCCUACGGACCUUGCUGUGUCACAGCGGAGCUGUCAGUCAUGAGCAAAAUGAUGGACCAGCUAUUAUUAUUUUCUCAACGACGAUCAGCCAUGCUUCUGACUUCCGUGCUAUCCAAACUUCAGGUGAGGAGCCUGACCUUCAAAGGCCCUUCGUGGGCUGGAGCCUGGUUAACAGCAUGGUAAGAGCCACCUGAUUGGUUAAUAAUUAAAUCACCCGGUGGUUUAAUAUCAUGUGCUGCAAAGAGCCGCAGGAGACACAUUAAAGAGCCACUGGUGGCUCCCAAGCCUUGGGCUGAGCAUCGCUGCCCUAGCGUGUUUAAAGACAGA